rnacentral:rRNA from 1 species
AGAGUUUGAUCCUGGCUCAGAUUGAACGCUGGCGGCAUGCCUAACACAUGCAAGUCGAACGGUAACAGGUCUUCGGAUGCUGACGAGUGGCGGACGGGUGAGUAAUGCGUAGGAAUCUGUCUUUUAGUGGGGGACAACCCAGGGAAACUUGGGCUAAUACCGCAUGAGCCCUGAGGGGGGAAAGCGGGGGGAUCUUCGGACCUCGCGCUAAGAGAGGAGCCUACGUCCGAUUAGCUAGUUGGUGAGGUAAAGGCUUACCAAGGCGACGAUCGGUAGCUGGUCUGAGAGGAUGAUCAGCCACACUGGGACUGAGACACGGCCCAGACUCCUACGGGAGGCGAC